AAUUUUGUGGGUAUUUUUUAGCAUUUAUUACUCAUUAAUACAGUGGAAAUGGCCUUUUUUCACUGUAGAAAUAUCUUAGAAAACAGAUUAUGAGCUCAGUCUUUAUCUUUCACAGGGACCUCCUGGAGCAACUGGCGCUGAAGGCAGACAAGGUGAAAAAGGUGCAAAGGGUGAACCUGGUGCAGAAGGGGCUCCUGGAAAAACGGGUCCAGUUGGUCCUCAGGGACCUGCAGGAAAACCUGGCCCGGAAGGUCUUCGAGGUAUUCCUGGCCCUGUGGGAGAGCAAGGUCUACCUGGAGCACCAGGUCAGGAUGGCCCUCCUGGGCCUCUGGGUCCACCUGGCUUACCUGGCCUGAAAGGAGAUCCAGGUUCUAAAGGAGAGAAGGGACAUCCUGGUUUGAUUGGCCUGAUUGGACCUCCAGGAGAACAGGGUGAAAAGGGUGAUAGGGGUCUUCCUGGCCCACAGGGGUCUCCUGGAGCCAAGGGUGACGCAGUAAGUAAAACAUGUGCUUUCAUUCAAGUUAUAUGCAUGUCUUUUUUGAAAGAGACAUAUAAAGUUACUAUAAACACUUAACACCAGACUUUCCUCCUAGAGGUUAAAGCUUUCCUAGACAAUGGACAAACACAGUGAAGCUAUACAACUUAAAACCAGGUCAUAGAGCAUUUCAGGAGGAGGAAACAUACACCUAAGUUAGGGAUGAGAGAACACUAACAGCACCAAUCUCGUUAUGUACUACCCAGAA
rnacentral:lncRNA from 1 species